rnacentral:rRNA from 2 species
GUUGUUGGGUAGGGGAGCGUUCUGUAAGCCUGUGAAGGUGUGUCGUGAGGCAUGCUGGAGGUAUCAGAAGUGCGAAUGCUGACAUAAGUAACGAUAAAGCGGGUGAAAAGCCCGCUCGCCGGAAGACCAAGGGUUCCUGUCCAACGUUAAUCGGGGCAGGGUGAGUCGACCCCUAAGGCGAGGCCGAAAGGCGUAGUCGAUGGGAAACGGGUUAAUAUUCCCGUACUUGGUGUUACUGCGAAGGGGGGACGGAGAAGGCUAUGUUGGCCGGGCGACGGUUGUCCCGGUUUAAGCGUGUAGGUGUGUGUUCCAGGUAAAUCCGGUUCACUUUAACACUGAGGCGUGACGACGAGGCACUACGGUGCUGAAGCAACAAAUGCCCUGCUUCCAGGAAAAGCCUCUAAGCAUCAGGUAACAUCAAAUCGUACCCCAAACCGACACAGGUGGUCAGGUAGAGAAUACCAAGGCGCUUGAGAGAACUCGGGUGAAGGAACUAGGCAAAAUGGUGCCGUAACUUCGGGAGAAGGCACGCUGACACGUAGGUGAAGUGAUUUACUCACGGAGCUGAAGUCAGUCGAAGAUACCAGCUGGCUGCAACUGUUUAUUAAAAACACAGCACUGUGCAAACACGAAAGUGGACGUAUACGGUGUGACGCCUGCCCGGUGCCGGAAGGUUAAUUGAUGGGGUCAGCGCAAGCGAAGCUCCUGAUCGAAGCCCCGGUAAACGGCGGCCGUAACUAUAACGGUCCUAAGGUAGCGAAAUUCCUUGUCGGGUAAGUUCCGACCUGCACGAAUGGCGUAAUGAUGGCCAGGCUGUCUCCACCCGAGACUCAGUGAAAUUGAACUCGCUGUGAAGAUGCAGUGUACCCGCGGCAAGACGGAAAGACCCCGUGAACCUUUACUAUAGCUUGACACUGAACAUUGAGCCUUGAUGUGUAGGAUAGGUGGGAGGCUUUGAAGCGUGGACGCCAGUCUGCGUGGAGCCGACCUUGAAAUACCACCCUUUAAUGUUUGAUGUUCUAACGUGGACCCGUAUCCGGGUUGCGGACAGUGUCUGGUGGGUAGUUUGACUGGGGCGGUCUCCUCCUAAAGAGUAACGGAGGAGCACGAAGGUUGGCUAAUCCUGGUCGGACAUCAGGAGGUUAGUGCAAUGGCAUAAGCCAGCUUGACUGCGAGCGUGACGGCGCGAGCAGGUGCGAAAGCAGGUCAUAGUGAUCCGGUGGUUCUGAAUGGAAGGGCCAUCGCUCAACGGAUAAAAGGUACUCCGGGGAUAACAGGCUGAUACCGCCCAAGAGUUCAUAUCGACGGCGGUGUUUGGCACCUCGAUGUCGGCUCAUCACAUCCUGGGGCUGAAGUAGGUCCCAAGGGUAUGGCUGUUCGCCAUUUAAAGUGGUACGCGAGCUGGGUUUAGAACGUCGUGAGACAGUUCGGUCCCUAUCUGCCGUGGGCGCUGGAGAACUGAGGGGGGCUGCUCCUAGUACGAGAGGACCGGAGUGGACGCAUCACUGGUGUUCGGGUUGUCAUGCCAAUGGCACUGCCCGGUAGCUAAAUGCGGAAGAGAUAAGUGCUGAAAGCAUCUAAGCACGAAACUUGCCCCGAGAUGAGUUCUCCCUGAGACUUAGAGUCUCCUGAAGGAACGUUGAAGACGACGACGUUGAUAGGCCGGGUGUGUAAGCGCAGCGAUGCGUUGAGCUAACCGGUACUAAUGAACCGUGAGGCUUAACCUU